rnacentral:sRNA from 1 species
GCAGCCGCAAAAUCGGCUGCCGGGUGUGAGCAACCCGGUAAUUACACUAGCGCACAACCGCGCUAACGCGGUUUUUUU